CCUGACUACUCUGCACACUUCAAACUUGAUACGUCAAUCUCAGGGGAAGAUUCAUUGAACCUUCUCUACCACCUUCCGGCGCUUCUGAGAUACAUCGGAGGAGCACGGGAUGUAAUCCUGCCACAGGACUUUUCCCAGGAAAACAGUCCUGUCCUGGCGACUUGCGAAAUACAUCUUACCAGACCCCGCAUCUGGAUGGAGCAUGCGCCCUAUUAUACCCAGAAAGCACGCGAUGCCAUGCCUGAUCACUUAUGGGCAACAAAGUGGAACAGUAUUCUUCUUCGUUACAUCUCGCAAUUACAGCUCUUUUCCUUCUUCACCGAUAUAAGCAAUCCUUAGCCGUUUAGAUGGCUUGCUAAACCAUAUCCAGAUCGAAAAGCCAAGUUGUCUUUCCUAGGAUUUGCUCGAAUAUGCAGCAUUUUAUGUUCUAACUUGGGGAAGUCUUCUUCUAAAUGUCGUCCACAUGUAUCGGUAUCAGCUAAUAUCCCCCAUGAAUUUCGAUUUUCACCUAUGACAGAGAGGCAUGUUGCUGUCUGCUGCAAUUGUAAUAUGGUACUGUACAAUCCUCGAUACAUUGACUGCUCAAAUUUCGCCAUCGGGAUUUAUUCCGUCCCCUUGCAAAAACGUAGCUGGUAGAAAGGACUAGAUAUACCCGUGAACCAACACAAAAAAUCCCUAACCGGCACCAUUUUUUUGCUCCCAAUUCUAAUGGCAUAAAUCGGAGACCAUACAUAAGCUAUAAUGUCACUGGUCAUUUUUCGCAUUGCACUAAAAUAU
rnacentral:sRNA from 1 species